CACGUAGGGCGCAAGCGUUGUCCGGAAUUAUUGGGCGUAAAGAGCUCGUAGGCGGUCUGUUACGUCUGCUGUGAAAACCCAGGGCUUACCCUGGGCUUGCAGUGGAUACGGGCAGACUAGAGGCAGGUAGGGGAGAACGAAUUCCCGGUGUAGCGGUGAAAUGCGCAGAUAUCAGGAGGAACACCGGUGGCGAAGGCGGGUCUCUGGGCAACAACUGACGCUGGAGGAGCGAAAGCGUGGGGAGCGAACAGG
rnacentral:rRNA from 1 species